UUUCCGUAGGUGAACCUGCGGAAGGAUCAUUCAUAAUAAAGUGUUUUAUGGCACUUUUUAAAAAUCCAUAUCCACCUUGUGUGCAAUGUUAGAUCUCGUCAAUCUUGGCGAGGUUUUUAUGCAUCAACUCAUUCUUUAACUAAUUUGUCUGAAAAAUAUUAUGAAUACUUAAUUCAAAAUACAACUUUCAACAACGGAUCUCUUGGCUCUC
rnacentral:misc_RNA from 1 species